AGGUAAGCUACUAAGAGCGAAUGGUGGAUGCCUUGACUGGUAAAGGCGAUGAAGGACGUACUAGACUGCGAUAAGCUACGGGGAGCUGUCAAGAAGCUUUGAUCCGUAGAUUUCCGAAUGGGGCAACCCAAUGUAUAGAGAUAUACAUUACCUAUAUAGGAGCGAACGAGGGGAAUUGAAACAUCUUAGUACCCUCAGGAAAAGAAAUCAAUAGAGAUUGCGUCAGUAGCGGCGAGCGAAAGCGCAAGAGGGCAAACCCAGUGCUUGCACUGGGGGUUGUAGGACUGCAAUGUGCAAGAGGUGAGUUUAGCAGAACAUUCUGGAAAGUAUAGCCAUAGAGGGUGAUAGUCCCGUAUGCGAAAAACAAACCUUAGCUAGCAGUAUCCUGAGUAGGGCGGGACACGAGAAAUCCUGUCUGAAGCUGGGUCGACCACGAUCCAACCCUAAAUACUAAUACCAGAUCGAUAGUGCACAAGUACCGUGAGGGAAAGGUGAAAAGAACUGAGGUGAUCAGAGUGAAAUAGAACCUGAAACCAUUUGCUUACAAUCAUUCAGAGCACUAUGUAGCAAUACAGUGUGAUGGACUGCCUUUUGCAUAAUGAGCCUGCGAGUUGUGGUGUCUGGCAAGGUUAAGCAAACGCGAAGCCGUAGCGAAAGCGAGUCUGAAUAGGGCGCUUAGUCAGAUGCUGCAGACCCGAAACGAAGUGAUCUAUCCAUGAGCAAGUUGAAGCUAGUGUAAGAACUAGUGGAGGACUGAACCCAUAGGCGUUGAAAAGCCCCGGGAUGACUUGUGGAUAGGGGUGAAAGGCCAAUCAAACUUCGUGAUAGCUGGUUCUCUCCGAAAUAUAUUUAGGUAUAGCGUUGUGUCGUAAUAUAAGGGGGUAGAGCACUGAAUGGGCUAGGGCAUACACCAAUGUACCAAACCCUAUCAAACUCCGAAUACCUUAUAUGUAAUCACAGCAGUCAGGCGGCGAGUGAUAAAAUCCGUCGUCAAGAGGGAAACAACCCAGACUACCAGCUAAGGUCCCUAAAUCUUACUUAAGUGGAAAACGAUGUGAAGUUACUUAAACAACCAGGAGGUUGGCUUAGAAGCAGCCAUCCUUUAAAGAAAGCGUAAUAGCUCACUGGUCUAGUGAUUUUGCGCGGAAAAUAUAACGGGGCUAAAGUAAGUACCGAAGCUGUAGACUUGAUUUUAUCAAGUGGUAGGAGAGCGUUCUAUUUGCGCCGAAGGUAUACCGGUAAGGAGUGCUGGAGCGAAUAGAAGUGAGCAUGCAGGCAUGAGUAGCGAUAAUUAAUGUGAGAAUCAUUAACGCCGUAAACCCAAGGUUUCCUACGCGAUGCUCGUCAUCGUAGGGUUAGUCGGGUCCUAAGUCGAGUCCGAAAGGGGUAGACGAUGGCAAAUUGGUUAAUAUUCCAAUACCAACAUUAGUGUGCGAUGGAAGGACGCUUAGGGCUAAGGGGGCUAGCGGAUGGAAGUGCUAGUCUAAGGUCGUAGGAGGUUAUACAGGCAAAUCCGUAUAACAAUACUCCGAGAACUGAAAGGCUUUUUGAAGUCUUCGGAUGGAUAGAAGAACCCCUGAUGCCGUCGAGCCAAGAAAAGUUUCUAAGUUUAGCUAAUGUUGCCCGUACCGUAAACCGACACAGGUGGGUGGGAUGAGUAUUCUAAGGCGCGUGGAAGAACUCUCUUUAAGGAACUCUGCAAAAUAGCACCGUAUCUUCGGUAUAAGGUGUGGUUCGCUUCGUAUUAGGAUUUACUCCGAAAGCGAAGAAACUUACAACAAAGAGUCCCUCCCGACUGUUUACCAAAAACACAGCACUCUGCUAACUCGUAAGAGGAUGUAUAGGGUGUGACGCCUGCCCGGUGCUCGAAGGUUAAUUGAUGGGGUUAGCAUUAGCGAAGCUCUUGAUCGAAGCCCGAGUAAACGGCGGCCGUAACUAUAACGGUCCUAAGGUAGCGAAAUUCCUUGUCGGUUAAAUACCGACCUGCAUGAAUGGCGUAACGAGAUGGGAGCUGUCUCAAAGAGGGAUCCAGUGAAAUUGUAGUGGAGGUGAAAAUUCCUCCUACCCGCGGCAAGACGGAAAGACCCCGUGGACCUUUACUACAGCUUGACACUGCUAUUUGGAUAAGAAUGUGCAGGAUAGGUGGGAGGCUUUGAGUAUAUGACGCCAGUUGUAUAUGAGCCAUUGUUGAGAUACCACUCUUUCUUAUUUGGGUAGCUAACCAGCUUGAGUUAUCCUCAAGUGGGACAAUGUCUGGUGGGUAGUUUGACUGGGGCGGUCGCCUCCCAAAUAAUAACGGAGGCUUACAAAGGUUGGCUCAGAACGGUUGGAAAUCGUUCGUAGAGUAUAAAGGUAUAAGCCAGCUUAACUGCAAGACAUACAAGUCAAGCAGAGACGAAAGUCGGUCUUAGUGAUCCGGUGGUUCUGUGUGGAAGGGCCAUCGCUCAAAGGAUAAAAGGUACCCCGGGGAUAACAGGCUGAUCUCCCCCAAGAGCUCACAUCGACGGGGAGGUUUGGCACCUCGAUGUCGGCUCAUCGCAUCCUGGGGCUGGAGCAGGUCCCAAGGGUAUGGCUGUUCGCCAUUUAAAGCGGUACGCGAGCUGGGUUCAGAACGUCGUGAGACAGUUCGGUCCCUAUCUGCCGUGGGCGUAAGAAGAUUGAAGAGAUUUGACCCUAGUACGAGAGGACCGGGUUGAACAAACCACUGGUGUAGCUGUUGUUCUGCCAAGAGCAUCGCAGCGUAGCUAAGUUUGGAAAGGAUAAACGCUGAAAGCAUCUAAGCGUGAAGCCAACUCUAAGAUGAAUCUUCUCUAAGCUCUCUAGAAGACUACUAGUUUGAUAGGCUGGGUGUGUAAUGGAUGAAAGUCCUUUAGCUGACCAGUACUAAUAGAGCGUUUGGCUUAUCUUU
rnacentral:rRNA from 1 species